rnacentral:rRNA from 1 species
CGGUUGACCUCGGAUCAGUAGGGAUACCCGCUGA